rnacentral:rRNA from 1 species
GACGAACGCUGGCGGCGUGCUUAACACAUGCAAGUCGAACGGAAAGGCCCUGCUUUUGUGGGGUGCUCGAGUGGCGAACGGGUGAGUAACACGUGUGUAACCUGCCCUUGACUUUGGGAUAACUUCAGGAAACUGGGGCUUAUACCGGAUAGGAGCUCCUGCUGCAUGGUGGGGGUUGGAAAGUUUCGGCGGUUGGGGAUGGACUCGCGGCUUAUCAGCUUGUUGGUGGGGUAGUGGCUUACCAAGGCUUUGACGGGUAGCCGGCCUGAGAGGGUGACCGGCCACAUUGGGACUGAGAUACGGCCCAGACUCCUACGGGAGGCAGCAGUGGGGAAUAUUGCACAAUGGGCGGAAGCCUGAUGCAGCAACGCCGCGUGCGGGAUAACGGCCUUCGGGUUGUAAACCGCUUUCGCCUGUGACGAAGCGUGAGUGACGGUAAUGGGUAAAGAAGCACCGGCUAACUACGUG